UACGUAGGGGGCAAGCGUUAUCCGGAUUUACUGGGUGUAAAGGGAGCGUAGACAGCCUUGCAAGUCUGGUGUGAAAGCCCGGGGCUCAACCCCGGGACUGCAUUGGAAACUGCAUGGCUGGAGUGCAGGAGAGGUAAGCGGAAUUCCUAGUGUAGCGGUGAAAUGCGUAGAUAUUAGGAGGAACACCAGUGGCGAAGGCGGCUUACUGGACUGUAACUGACGUUGAGGCUCGAAAGCGUGGGGAGCAAACAGG
rnacentral:rRNA from 1 species